UACGGAGGGUGCAAGCGUUAUCCGGAUUCACUGGGUUUAAAGGGUGCGCAGGUGGGUCUGUAAGUCAGUGGUGAAAUCUCCGAGCUUAACUCGGAAACUGCCAUUGAUACUAUAGGUCUUGAAUUAUCUGGAGGUGAGCGGAAUAUGUCAUGUAGCGGUGAAAUGCUUAGAUAUGACAUAGAACACCAAUUGCGAAGGCAGCUCACUACGGAUAUAUUGACACUGAGGCACGAAAGCGUGGGGAUCAAACAGG
rnacentral:rRNA from 1 species